GAGUGAACGCUGGCGGUAGGCCUAACACAUGCAAGUCGAACGGCAGCACAGUAAGAGCUUGCUCUUACGGGUGGCGAGUGGCGGACGGGUGAGGAAUACAUCGGAAUCUACUUUUUCGUGGGGGAUAACGUAGGGAAACUUACGCUAAUACCGCAUACGACCUACGGGUGAAAGCAGGGGAUCUUCGGACCUUGCGCGAUUGAAUGAGCCGAUGUCGGAUUAGCUAGUUGGCGGGGUAAAGGCCCACCAAGGCGACGAUCCGUAGCUGGUCUGAGAGGAUGAUCCGCCACACUGGAACUGAGACACGGUCCAGACUCCUACGGGAGGCAGCAGUGGGGAAUAUUGGACAAUGGGCGCAAGCCUGAUCCAGCCAUACCGCGUGGGUGAAGAAGGCCUUCGGGUUGUAAAGCCCUUUUGUUGGGAAAGAAAAGCAGCAGGUUAAUACCCCGCUGUUCUGACGGUACCCAAAGAAUAAGCACCGGCUAACUUCGUG
rnacentral:rRNA from 1 species